GAUCCUCCUUUCUCGAGCCUUCUGUAGAAGACUGCCCUUUAGGAAACUCCGCAUUGAAAGAGACCUAAAGAUAAAAAAAAGUAAAAAAAAAAAGACAACACCCCCAUACCUAGUAAGGUUAUUUCAUGGUAAGGCACGGGAGGGGCUUCAACCUUCGAUUGGAAUACGGAUGAGAUCCCUACACGGGGGCCCCCGUCUAUAAUACAAAUUAAAGCAUUGGUACACGACUUCGAAAGAAAGGAUUUAUACUUCUUAAUUCUCAUCCGCCG
rnacentral:lncRNA from 1 species